UAAAGAUUCAUCGCUGAUAGAUAGGCAUGCGCUCCAUUAGGCAGUUGGCGGGGUAACGGCCCACCAAACCGACGAUGGAUAGGGGUUCUGAGAGGAAGGUCCCCCACAUUGGUACUGAGACACGGACCAAACUCCUACGGGAGGCAGCAGUGAGGAAUAUUGGUCAAUGGGCGUAAGCCUGAACCAGCCAAGUCGCGUGAGGGAUGAAGGUUCUAUGGAUCGUAAACCUCUUUUAUAAGGGAAUAAAGUGUGGGACGUGUCCUAUUUUGUAUGUACCUUAUGAAUAAGGAUCGGCUAACUCCGUGCCAGCAGCCGCGGUAAUACGGAGGAUCCGAGCGUUAUCCGGAUUUAUUGGGUUUAAAGGGUGCGUAGGCGGCCUUUUAAGUCAGCGGUGAAAGUCUGUGGCUCAACCAUAGAAUUGCCGUUGAAACUGGGGGGCUUGAGUAUGUUUGAGGCAGGCGGAAUGCGUGGUGUAGCGGUGAAAUGCUUAGAUAUCACGCAGAACCCCGAUUGCGAAGGCAGCCUGCCAAGCCAUGACUGACGCUGAUGCACGAAAGCGUGGGGAUCAAACAGGAUUAGAUACCCUGGUAGUCCACGCAGUAAACGAUGAUCACUAGCUGUUUGCGAUACAGUGUAA
rnacentral:rRNA from 1 species